AAAAAAAUUUCGAAAUUUGAAAACAGCUCGAUAUCUAUACUCAUUUUGCCAUUUUUUUCAUUUCAGAGCUUCCCCCCAAAAUUUUCCCUCCCUCUCUCCAUCUACCCAUUUUCUUCCCACCGUCGACCACCAAGCACGACCCACCACCGCCGUUCUCCACGCACGACCCGCCACCGUCGUUCUCCAUCUUCGGCCAACUCCGUCGUUCUUCCAGUUCCGGCUGUCUUCCAUCUCCGGCCGUCUUCCAGUUCCGCUCGUCUUCCAUCUCCAGCCGUCUUCCAGUCUCGGCGACCAUUCGAAACCAGUGCAGUACGUCUUCUUCUCUGUAACCAAUUUUUUGGUCCCCAAAACCACUACAAACGGCCACCGUCGUUCUCCAUCUCCGGCCAAAACCCAACCACCGUGCGUUCUCCAAAUCCGAUUCGGCUCCGACAACUCAACCACCGUAUCGCCACGAGCAGCCCCAGCCGAAACACCACUGCCGACGAGCCCAUCCACCGUUUGGAUGAGGAAAGGGCUUUAGGUGGAUUAGGUUACAAACCAUUACAUUCUAUGGAGAUGGUAUACUGGAAUUGAGUAAUGCUGGUGAUUUUAUUAUUGAAAUAUGUUGAACGAUAUUCUCUUAUGAAAUGUCAUUCAUUGCCGAGAGAACCUAGUAGUUUAGAUGGUGAAGGAACCACCUCUUCGGAUUUGAAGAAAUAAACUAAUUGAUUCAAUGCUUCUCAUGGCUUCAAUACAAUUUUCGUUUGUAGAUAUUAUUUUUGCUUUUACAAAAUGUAGAUAUGCGGUUGUUGUAAAUUUGCCUUUUUGAAUUUGUAACUAAGAGAAAAUUCCACCAUUUGUUAUUGUUUGUGUCCCAAUUAUACUGAUCCUUGAUUUUCUAUUUUUAA